GACGAACGCUGGCGGCGUGCCUAAUACAUGCAAGUCGAACGCUGGAGACCUAGCUUGCUAGCUCGAAGGAGUGGCGAACGGGUGAGUAAUACAUAAGCAACCUACCCACGAAGACUGGGAUAAUCUCUGGAAACGGGGACUAAUACCGGAUAGGUAAUCGGAAGGCAUCUUCUGGUUAUUAAAGGUUAAAAACACUGGUGGAUGGGCUUAUGGCGCAUUAGUUAGUUGGUGAGGUAACGGCCACCAAGACGCUGAAGCGUAGCCGGGCUGAGAGGGUGAACGGCCACAUUGGGACUGAGACACGGACCAGACGCCUACGGGAGGCAGCAGUAGGGAAUGGUCGGCAAUGGGGGCAACCAUGACCGAGCAACGCCGAGUGAGUGAAGACGGCCUUCGGGGUGUAAAGCUGUGUUGUAAGGGAAGAACGGUAGAUAGAGAAUAUCUAAGUGACGGUACCUUACCAGAAAGCCACGGCUAACUACGUG
rnacentral:rRNA from 1 species